GAUGAACGCUGGCGGCGGGCCUAACACAUGCAAGUCGAGCGGAUGGAGGGAUUUUGGUCCUGACUUGAGCGGCGGACGGGUGAGUAAUGCGUAGGAAUCUGCCUGGUAGUGGGGGAUAACGUCCGGGAAAGGGCGGUAAUAACGCGUACGGCCUGCGGGAGAAAGUGUGGGGGCUUGGAACCUCAGGCUAUCAGAUGAACCUUGGGCGGAUUGGCUAGUUGGUGGGGUGAAGGCCUAUCACGGCGACGAUCCGUAAAUGGUCUGAGAGGAUGAUCAGUCCCACUGGAACUGAGACGCGGUCCAGACUCCUAGUGGAGGCCGCAGUGGCGACUAUUGGACAAUGGGCGAAAGCCUGAUCCAGCGAUGCCGGCUGUGUGAAGAAGGUCCUCGGAUUGUAAAGCGCUUUAAGUUUUGUGGACGGCCAGUAAGUUAAUCCAUGCCUGUUUUGACGUUACCAACAGAAUAAGCACCGGCUAACUACGUG
rnacentral:rRNA from 1 species